rnacentral:rRNA from 1 species
UACGUAGGGUGCGAGCGUUGUCCGGAAUUAUUGGGCGUAAAGGGCUCGUAGGCGGUUUGUCGCGUCGGGAGUGAAAACCCAGGGCUUAACCCUGGGCUGGCUUCCGAUACGGGCAGACUAGAGGUAUGCAGGGGAGAACGGAAUUCCUGGUGUAGCGGUGAAAUGCGUAGAGAUGGGGGAGAACACUCGUGGCGAAGGCGGCCAGCUAGACCAGUUCUGACACUGAGGCGCGACAUCGUGGGGAGCAAACAGG